rnacentral:rRNA from 1 species
CGGGUGAGUAACGCGUGGAUAACCUGCCUCACACAGGGGGACAACAGCUGGAAACGGCUGCUAAUACCGCAUAACACAAGUAAUUCGCAUGAAUAACUUGCCAAAGAUUUUAUCGGUGUGAGAUGGAUCCGCGUCUGAUUAGCCAGUUGGCGGGGUAACGGCCCACCAAAGCGACGAUCAGUAGCCGACCUGAGAGGGUGACCGGCCACAUUGGGACUGAGACACGGCCCAA